rnacentral:rRNA from 1 species
GACGAACGCUGGCGGCGUGCUUAACACAUGCAAGUCGAACGGAAAGGCCCUGCUUUUGUGGGGUGCUCGAGUGGCGAACGGGUGAGUAACACGUGAGUAACCUGCCCUUGACUUUGGGAUAACUUCAGGAAACUGGGGCUAAUACCGGAUAGGAGCUCCUGCUGCAUGGUGGGGGUUGGAAAGUUCCGGCGGUUGGGGAUGGACUCGCGGCUUAUCAGCUUGUUGGUGGGGUAGUGGCUUACCAAGGCUUUGACGGGUAGCCGGCCUGAGAGGGUGACCGGCCACAUUGGGACUGAGAUACGGCCCAGACUCCUACGGGAGGCAGCAGUGGGGAAUAGUGCACAAUGGGCGGAAGCCUGAUGCAGCAACGCCGCGUGCGGGAUGACGGCCUUCGGGUUGUAAACCGCUUUCGCCUGUGACGAAGCGUGAGUGACGGUAAUGGGUAAAGAAGCACCGGCUAACUACGUG